rnacentral:tRNA from 1 species
GUAAACAUAGUUUAACCAAAACACUAGCCUGUGAAGCUAGAAAUAGAGACGUAACCUCUCUUAUUUACC